UGCACCCUUGAGUAAGAGCGCAAACAAUGUUUAUAAGUAUUGAUGACUAAAAAAUAGUUAUAUGUGUAUUAAAAAGACAAUAAGUAAUGCAUUAUGAUAGCUUCUCUUUAGACUUACCAUUUAAUAGUUACAAGUUCUAUAGUAAUUUACAACAUAACUCCUCACAUCCUUGUAAAUUGUAAUUUAGUUAAUCGCCACAUCGGAUAUGAAAAUCCAUAUAGAAAAACAGUAUAUGAACACUUAAUUCUAAAGUCAGAAGUAAAAUUUGUUGUCUUGAGUCAUGCUAGUGAGCAUUAAAAAUCUGAAGUCACGUUGAUUAGAUUGCUGAGAAGUUAAGCCUAAUUAUUCGUAAGCCUGUUUUUAAGUUCAAUUCUAAACUAGAAUGCGCCUGGUGUAUUAAAUUUAAAGUAAAAUGGUGACGUAGGCCUAACAUCAACACUGAAAAUUGGAAUGAAGCCUAGUUAGAGAUCCUUUUCUGUAAGAAAUGGAACGAGCAGAGAACGGUGGAGAUCUUAGUGAUUCUUUCUUGACUGGAGGUGGGCCCUACAUAGUCCACACAGAAGGUACUGAUGUGGAUGAUGGUCUAGGUAUUGCAGAUAUUGACCAGGGGGAUGAUGGAAAGUAUACCGAACCUUUAAGGGAACAGGUAAUUGUAUUUAAACACAUU